CGGCGACCCGAGCACACUAACGACCAACAGAACCGACGGAUCUGAAAACCAAAGAAGAAUCUCAAUAGAUUUGAGCCUCGAAACCCAUGGCUCCACCACGUCAAAAACCACCACGCUUCAACAACCGAAGGAUACAGAGACAAGAAAUAAAAAACUAAGCAAGAAAUUAGAGGAGGUGACCGACGCCGGCGCUAUAUGAUCCGCCACGCGCCGGUCAAAAACUUGACUGAAGCUUUGUUUUAAGGCAGGCGGCGAGAGAGAAAAGCUAGGUUAAAAGAAUUUUUUACUGAAACGAAAAGAAGAGAUUUUUAUUUUUUCGGUUUAACCAUUCAUUGUCUUGUUUCCUUCCUAGUUUGUUUGUUUUUUUUUCAUCUGAAUGAUUCCAUUAUAUUAUACGAAGGUAGAAUGCAGUUUUGAAAUACAAGACCGACAAGAGUCGAAACUCUUUUGGAAACUAAGCCGGCGGAAGACAUAAAUAUCCCCGGAGUCUAAAAGCCCAAAAGAGGGAAGCGAAAGCCCAAAAGAGGGAAGCGAAAGCCCAACAAAGGGAAGUGAUGCCCUAAAACACAUGGACACUAACUAAAACCGAGUGAACAAACCACCGAAGACGAAACAAUGGACAAACUCGUAAACUAAAGCUCAGAAGGAAAUAAAAGGACAUGCCAAACUUACUCCAACACCGAUGUGAGCAAAGCUAGCCACAAAGGACAACAUGCGUCCAUCUUGCAGUUAACGAAACCUCCUAUUGUGAAGCCAAGGUACCUCUCAAAGCAGAUGAACCUAAACUUCUAUUCCGGCAAGACAAACAUGAGACACAUAAACCAAAUCCCACAAAUCUUCCAGAAGCGGCGAUUGUCGAAUACAACGACUAGGAGACGCCUCGUUAGAAGUCAUGAACUGACCAGACCUCGAUCAAGUCUUGAGUGUAGAGACAAGGAGCGAAACAAACCUCAAACCGGAAGAUACUACACUCAGAUGAGAGAAGCACACGAUCGAACCGGAGAGAUCACAUAAAGCUUAUCAAAGGGCUAAAGUAAGAUCAACAAAAUCACGAAACCAAAAGAGCGCCAGCAAGCUAUGACCAAAGCUUCGGGCUAACAGCAAGAGAAGAGAGAGCGAGGCAGCCUAAACUGACCUACACACUUUCUAAAACUGCCUAAACCAAAGAUUUGUACCACCCAAAGUCACAAAAACCAGAGACCAGAAGCAGCAAUCUCAAGGACGAAAGAAAACAAAAGUCAGAUGAUACCGUAGAGGAGGCAAGAACAUCUCGGCCGCAUUAGAAGCUAACACAUCGUGUAUCACCAUCGGACGCCAACGGGCCAUAACCAGAUCUGCAAAUACGCACAACAAAGCAACCGACGAGAUAGGACAAUUCGCGGCGCACCAACGCGAGCCAAAAGGAGACGAUUUUCAGGGAAGAUCUUGCCGAGAUCGGAAGAAGACCCAAACCUAAGCCGUUCCGAAACUUUUGUAACUAGAUCCGCUAGAGGAGGGCUAGGAAUGGCUCCGAAACUAAAGACGCAAGGAAGAACAAACCACGGACGGCCCUCUCACGACUCCGGCGAGAAGCGCCGGUGGCCGGAGAGGUCAAAUCAAAAGGAGAAGCUUGACGGCGGCUAGGGCGAGUUGGUCUUCGCAAUUCUUCUACGAGUCACGACCACCUCCAAGUUAAUUUCCUUCCUAGUUUCUAAUGAGGCUUUUAUUUGUCAAGUGAUAUAUAACAAAUAUGAAAUAUUGAUUUUUUUUUUG
rnacentral:lncRNA from 1 species